rnacentral:rRNA from 1 species
GAUGAACGCUGGCGGCGUGCCUAAUACAUGCAAGUCGAGCGAAUGGAUUAAGAGCUUGCUCUUAUGAAGUUAGCGGCGGACGGGUGAGUAACACGUGAGUAACCUGCCCAUAAGACUGGGAUAACUCCGGGAAACCGGGGCUAAUACCGGAUAACAUUUUGAACCGCAUGGUUCGGAAUUGAAAGGCGGCUUCGGCUGUCACUUAUGGAUGGACCCGCGUCGCAUUAGCUAGUUGGUGAGGUAACGGCUCACCAAGGCAACGAUGCGUAGCCGACCUGGGAGGGUGAUCGGCCACACUGGGACUGAGACACGGCCCAGACUCCUACGGGAGACAGCAGUAGGGAAUCUUCCGCAAUGGACGAAAGUCUGACGGAGCAACGCCGCGUGAGUGAUGAAGGCUUUCGGGUCGUAAAACUCCGUUGUUAGGGAAGAACAAGUGCUAGUUGAAUAAGCUGGCACCUUGACGGUACCUAACCAGAAAGCCACGGCUAACUACGUGCCAGCAGCCGCUGUAA